rnacentral:rRNA from 1 species
GAAAAGAAACUAACUAGGAUUCCCCCAGUAACUGCGAGUGAAGAGGGAAGAGCUCAUCAUUGGAAUCUGGCAGCGUUGCGCUGUCCGAGUUGUAGAUGAGAAGAGUGGGACAUCUGGACUGCAUGGUGUCCAAGUACAAUAGGCCGUCAGUGGGACAUCAUAGAGGGUGACAAUCCCGUCCUUGACACCAAUGUACGAGUCCUUUACGAUGCCUAUCUCGGAGAGUCGAGCAGUUUGGGAUUUGCUGCUUAAACACGGGAGGUAGAUUCCUUCCAAAGCUAAAUACAGGCAAGAGACCGAUAGUGAACAAGUACCGCAAGGGAAAGAUGAAAUAGAACUCUGUGAAGGGAGUCAAAAAGACGUGAAAUUGUUGCGAGAGAAGCGAUUCAAGUCAGCGUAGCUGGGCCCAUCAAGCCUCGCGCUUUGGACCAGCUUUGCCAGCGGUCUUGUCCCUAGAGACUUGACUAAGGUGCCCUGCCCGGUCUAACGGACAGGCCUCCCCUCUGGGGAGGCCAGUGGCAUGGCUGGUGGAAUGGCUUGCAAUCGACCCGUCUUGAAACACGGACCAAGGAGUCUAACAUGUACGCGAGUAUAAGGGUGGCAAACCCGUAUGCGCAAAGAAAGUGAUAGCCUUCAUGGCUGAGAAUGACCUGACGACCAGACAAGAAAUAUCAUGUCCCUCGUACGGUCAUUGCCCAAGUCCCAUGGUCAGAUCCCAUGGACAUGGAGUUGGAGCGUGCAUGCUAGGACCCGAAAGAUGGUGAACUAUGCCUGGACAAAGCGAAGCCAAAGGAAACUCUGGUGGAGGCUUGUAGCGAUUCUGACGUGCAAAUCGAUCGUCUGAUCUGGGUAUAGGGGCGAAAGACUAAUCGAACCAUCUCAUAGCUGGUUCCUGCCGAAGUUUCCCUCAGGA